rnacentral:rRNA from 1 species
AUUGAACGCUGGCGGCAUGCUUUACACAUGCAAGUCGAACGGUAACAGGCCGCAAGGUGCUGACGAGUGGCGAACGGGUGAGUAAUGCAUCGGAACGUGCCCAGUCGUGGGGGAUAACGCAGCGAAAGCUGUGCUAAUACCGCAUAUGAUCUAUGGAUGAAAGCGGGGGACCGUAAGGCCUCGCGCGAUUGGAGCGGCCGAUGUCAGAUUAGGUAGUUGGUGGGGUAAAGGCCCACCAAGCCAACGAUCUGUAGCUGGUCUGAGAGGGCGACCAGCCGCACUGGGACUGAGACACGGCCCAGACUCCUACGGGAGGCAGCAGUGGGGAAUUUUGGACAAUGGGCGCGAGCCUGAUCCAGCAAUGCCGCGUGCAGGAAGAAGGCCUUCGGGUUGUAAACUGCUUUUGUACGGAACGAAACGGUCUGGGUUAAUACCCUGGGCUAAUGACGGUACCGUAAGAAUAAGCACCGGCUAACUACGUGCCAGCCGCCGCGGUAAGAC